rnacentral:rRNA from 1 species
GAUGAACGCUGGCGGCGUGCCUAAUACAUGCAAGUCGAGCGAACAGACGAGGAGCUUACUCCUCUGACGUUAGCGGCGGACGGGUGAGUAACACGUGGAUAACCUACCUAUAAGACUGGGAUAACUUCGGGAAACCGGAGCUAAUACCGGAUAACAUUUUGAACCGCAUGGUUCAACAGUGAAAGACGGUCUUGCUGUCACUUAUAGAUGGAUCCGCGUCGCAUUAGCUAGUUGGUAAGGUAACGGCUUACCAAGGCAACGAUGCGUAGACGACCUGAGAGGGUGAUCGGCCACACUGGAACUGGGACACGGUCCAGACUCCUACGGGAGGGAGCAGUAGGGAAUCUUCGGCAGUGGGCGAGAGCAUGACGGAGCAACGCCGCGUGAGUGAAGAAGGUCUUCGGAUCGUAAAACUCUGUUAUUAGGGAAGAACAAAUGUGUAAGUAAAUAUGCACGUAUUGACGGUACCUAAUCAGAAAGCAACGGCUAACUACGUG